rnacentral:rRNA from 1 species
UACGUAGGUGGCAAGCGUUGUCCGGAUUUAUUGGGCGUAAAGAGCGUGUAGGCGGCCAAGCAGGUCCGCUGUGAAAACUCGAGGCUCAACCUCGAGACGUCGGUGGAAACCGUUUGGCUAGAGUCCGGAAGAGGAGAGUGGAAUUCCCGGUGUAGCGGUGAAAUGCGUAGAUAUCCGGAGGAACACCGGUGGCGAAGGCGGCUUCCUGGACCGAUCACUGACGCUGAGGCGCGAAAGCUAGGGGAGCAAACGGG